rnacentral:miRNA from 1 species
AGUGGGUUGGUCAAAAAUUUCAAUAAGAUCCAAUAAGAUCUUACAGGAAAACCCUAAUGAACUUUUUGGCCAACCCAAU